rnacentral:tRNA from 1 species
AAGAUUCUAGUAAAACAAUUACAUAGCAGUGUCAACGCUAAAUUACAAGACAGCUUGUGAAUCUU